GACGAACGCUGGCGGCGUGCUUAACACAUGCAAGUCGAACGGAAAGGCCUGCUUUCCCUUGUGGAUUGCGGGUACUCGAGUGGCGAACGGGUGAGUAACACGUGAGUGAUCUGCCCCCAACUUGGGUAUAAGCCUGGGAAACUGGGUCUAAUUCCCGAUAGGACUGCAGGGUGGUGCCUGUGGUGGAAAACGAUUUUCUAGUGGUUGGGGAUGAGCUCGCGGCCUAUCAGCUUGUUGGUGGGGUAAUGGCCUACCAAGGCGGCGACGGGUAGCCGGCCUGAGAGGGUGGACGGCCACAUUGGGACUGAGAUACGGCCCAGACUCAUACGGGAGGCAGCAGUGGGGAAUAUUGGACAAUGGGCGGAAGCCUGAUGCAGCGACGCCGCGUGGGGGAUGACGGCCUUCGGGUUGUAAACUCCUUUCGACCGCGAGGAAGCCACCUGGUUGGAAGGGUGGUGACGGUAGUGGUAGAAGAAGCACCGGCUAACUACGUG
rnacentral:rRNA from 1 species